rnacentral:rRNA from 1 species
GUGGGGAAUAUUGGACAAUGGGGGGAACCCUGAUCCAGCCAUGCCGCGUGUGUGAAGAAGGCCUUUUGGUUGUAAAGCACUUUAAGCGAGGAGGAGGCUACCGAGAUUAAUACUCUUGGAUAGUGGACGUUACUCGCAGAAUAAGCACCGGCUAACUCUGUGCCAGCAGCCGCAGUAAUACAGAGGGUGCGAGCGUUAAUCGGAUUUACUGGGCGUAAAGCGCGCGUAGGUGGUUAAUUAAGUCAAAUGUGAAAUCCCCGAGCUUAACUUGGGAAUUGCAUUCGAUACUGGUUAGCUAGAGUAUGGGAGAGGAUGGUAGAAUUCCAGGUGUAGCGGUGAAAUGCGUAGAGAUCUGGAGGAAUACCGAUGGCGAAGGCAGCCAUCUGGCCUAAUACUGACACUGAGGUGCGAAAGCAUGGGGAGCAAACAGGAUUAGAAACCCUUGUAGUCC